GAUGAACGCUGGCGGCGUGCCUAAUACAUGCAAGUCGAGCGAACAGACGAGGAGCUUGCUCCUCUGACGUUAGCGGCGGACGGGUGAGUAACACGUGGAUAACCUACCUAUAAGACUGGGAUAACUUCGGGAAACCGGAGCUAAUACCGGAUAAUAUAUUGAACCGCAUGGUUCAAUAGUGAAAGACGGUUUUGCUGUCACUUAUAGAUGGAUCCGCGCCGCAUUAGCUAGUUGGUAAGGUAACGGCUUACCAAGGCAACGAUGCGUAGCCGACCUGAGAGGAUGAUCGGCCACACUGGAACUGAGACACGGUCCAGACUCCUACGGGAGGCAGCAGUAGGGAAUCUUCCGCAAUGGGCGAAAGCCUGACGGAGCAACGCCGCGUGAGUGAUGAAGGUCUUCGGAUCGUAAAACUCUGUUAGUAGGGAAGAACAAAUGUGUAAGUAACUAUGCACGUCUUGACGGUACCUAAUCAGAAAGCCACGGCUAACUACGUG
rnacentral:rRNA from 1 species